rnacentral:rRNA from 1 species
GAUGAACGCUGGCGGCGUGCCUAAUACAUGCAAGUCGAGCGAACAGAUGAGGAGCUUGCUCCUCUGACGUUAGCGGCGGACGGGUGAGUAACACGUGGAUAACCUACCUAUAUGACGGGGAUAACUUCGGGAAACCGGAGAUAAUACCGGAGAAUAUAUUGAACCGCAGGGUUCAAUAGUGAAAGACGGUUUUGCUGUCACUAAUAGAUGGAUCCGCGCCGCAUUAGCUGGUUGGUAAGGUAACGGCUUACCAAGGCAACGAUGCGUAGCCGACCUGAGAGGGUGAUCGGCCACACUGGAACUGAGACACGGUCCAGACUCCUACGGGAGGCAGCAGUAGGGAAUCUUCCGCAAUGGGCGAAAGCCUGACGCAGCAACGCCGCGUGAGUGAUGAAGGUCUUCGGAUCGUAAAACUCUGUUAUUGGGGAAGAACAAAUGUGUAAGUAACUAUGCACGUCUUGACGGUACCUAAUCAGAAAGCCACGGCUAACUACGUG